UACGGAGGGAGCUAGCGUUAUUCGGAAUUACUGGGCGUAAAGCGCACGUAGGCGGCUUUGUAAGUUAGAGGUGAAAGCCCAGGGCUCAACCCUGGAAUUGCCUUUAAGACUGCAUCGCUUGAAUCAUGGAGAGGUGAGUGGAAUUCCGAGUGUAGAGGUGAAAUUCGUAGAUAUUCGGAAGAACACCAGUGGCGAAGGCGACUCACUGGACAUGUAUUGACGCUGAGGUGCGAAAGCGUGGGGAGCAAACAGG
rnacentral:rRNA from 1 species